UUGCACGCUGGCGGCAUGCUUUACACAUGCAAGUCGCACGGUAACAGGCCUUCGGGUGCUGACGAGUGGCGAACGGGUGAGUAAUGCAUCGGAACGUACCCAGAGGUGGGGGAUAACGCAGCGAAAGCUGUGCUAAUACUGCAUGUGAUCUGAGGAUGAAAGCGGGGGACCGAGCAGCAAUGUUUGGCCUCGCGCCUUUGGAGCGGCCGAUGUCGGAUUAGCUAGUUGGUGGGGUAAAGGCCUACCAAGGCGACGAUCCGUAGCUGGUCUGAGAGGACGACCAGCCACACUGGGACUGAGACACGGCCCAGACUCCUACGGGAGGCAGCAGUGGGGAAUUUUGGACAAUGGGCGCAAGCCUGAUCCAGCAAUGCCGCGUGCGGGAAGAAGGCCUUCGGGUUGUAAACCGCUUUUGGCAGGAACGAAACGGUGUCCGCUAAUACCGGGCGCUAAUGACGGUACCUGCAGAAUAAGCACCGGCUAACUACGUG
rnacentral:rRNA from 1 species